rnacentral:rRNA from 1 species
GUGUCAGCAGCCGCGGUAAUACGAAGGGUGCAAGCGUUACUCGGAAUUACUGGGCGUAAAGCGUGCGUAGGCGGUUUGUUAAGUCUGUCGUGAAAGCCCCGGGCUCAACCUGGGAAUGGCGAUGGAAACUGGCGAGCUAGAGUACGGUAGAGGAGAGUGGAAUUCCCGGUGUAGCAGUGAAAUGCGUAGAGAUCGGGAGGAACAUCAGUUGCGAAGGCGGCUCUCUGGACCAGUACUGACGCUGAGGCACGAAAGCGUGGGGAGCAAACAGGAUUAGAAACCCCCGUAGUCC